rnacentral:tRNA from 1 species
GCCCGGCUAGCUCAAUCGGUAGAGCGUGAGACUCUUAAUCUCAAGGCUGCGGGUUCGAGCSCCGCGUUGGGCU